AACGAACGCUGGCGGCAUGCCUAACACAUGCAAGUCGAACGAGACCUUCGGGUCUAGUGGCGCACGGGUGCGUAACGCGUGGGAACCUGCCCUUAGGUUCGGAAUAACUCCCCGCAAGGGGUGCUAAUACCGGAUAAUGUCUUCGGACCAAAGUUUUAUCGCCUUUGGAUGGGCCCGCGUUGGAUUAGCUAGUUGGUAGGGUAAAAGCCUACCAAGGCGACGUUCCAUAGCUGGUCUGAGAGGAUGAUCAGCGACACUGGGACUGAGACACGGCACAGACUCCUACGGGAGGCAGCAGUGGGGAAUAUUGGACAAUGGGCGAAAGCAUGAUCCAGCAAUGCCGCGUGAGUGAUGAAGGCAUUAGGGUUGUAAAGCUCUUUUACCCGGGAUGAUAAUGACAGUACCGGGAGAAUAAGCUCCGGCUAACUCCGUG
rnacentral:rRNA from 1 species